rnacentral:rRNA from 1 species
UACGUAGGGAGCAAGCGUUGUCCGGAAUUAUUGGGCGUAAAGGGUGCGUAGGCGGUGCUGCAAGUCAGAUGUGAAAUCCCCGGGCUUAACUCGGGGGGUGCAUUUGAAACUGCAGUGCUUGAGUGCAGGAGAGGAAAGCGGAAUUCCUAGUGUAGCGGUGAAAUGCGUAGAUAUUAGGAAGAACACCAGUGGCGAAGGCGGCUUUCUGGACUGUAACUGACGCUGAGGCACGAAAGCGUGGGGAG